AACGAACGCUGGCGGCGUGGAUAAGACAUGCAAGUCGAACGGGAUCACGUUUGUAGCAAUACAAAUUUGGUCUAGUGGCGAACGGGUGCGUAACACGUGAGUAAUCUGCCGGGAAGUGGGGGAUAGCUCGCCGAAAGGCGAAUUAAUACCGCAUAUGACCAUUCUUCGAUUGGAGAAAAAGUCAAAGCCAAACGCAAGUUUGGCGCUUCCUGAUGAACUCGCGGCCUAUCAGCUAGAUGGCGGGGUAACGGCCCACCAUGGCUAUGACGGGUAGCUGGUCUGAGAGGACGACCAGCCACACUGGAACUGAGACACGGUCCAGACACCUACGGGUGGCAGCAGUCGAGAAUUUUUCACAAUGGGGAAACCCUGAUGGAGCGACGCCGCGUGGAGGACGAAGGCCUUCGGUCGUAACU
rnacentral:rRNA from 1 species